rnacentral:rRNA from 1 species
UACGGAGGGUGCGAGCGUUAUUCGGAAUCACUGGGCGUAAAGGGCGCGUAGGCGGUGCGGUAAGUCAGGGGUUAAAGGCUGCAGCUCAACUGCAGUAAGGCCUUUGAUACUAUCGCGCUAGAGUACCAGAGAGGAUGGCGGAAUUCCCGGUGUAGCGGUGAAAUGCGUAGAUAUCGGGAGGAAGGCCGGUGGCGAAGGCGGCCCUCUGGGCCUGUACUGACACUGAGGCGCGAAAGCGUGGGGAGCAAACAGG